GUCUGGGCGACAGAGCAAGACUCUGUCUCAAAAAAAAAAAAACAAGACAAGACAAAAAAAAAACCUUCCCUUUCUCUGAGAACUUUCUUCAAACCCAUGGGUAAAGGAUCCAAUAUCCAUGUUUCUACUACAUGAGGUAUUGCAAGCUCCUGCAAACAGUUCUUGGCUUGGAGGUGACCAUGUAGCCCAAUUCAGGAUUACUGAGAGGCAGUCUGGAGCUGUGGCAGCCAUCUUGCCCCCGUGAGGGGAGAGCCUGCUUGAGAAUGGAGCCAAUAUGGAGGAAGGCAGAGAGAGAGAGAGAACGAUGGCGGGAGAUCAGACCCUGCCUACGGGAUCCAGCUACAUGUCUGGCCUUCUCAGUUCCAGAAACCAAUGCAUUUCCUGUUGGAUUUCUGUCUCUUAUACCCUCAAUGAUCCACCCUUAACUAGACAGCCUCCUACCCUACAGUAGCCAUCUACAUGCCUUUCUCCAAAAUCAUGACUCCUCCAAGAAAAAGCCCAUCUCAGACAACCAAGACCAUGGCUCUUAGGAUCCCACCGAGCUGUACCUCAAAGAUCUCAAAUCCAGCUAUAUCCAGGAUCCCCAGGAAGGAAGCCCCUUGCCGAUGGGUCUUGUCCAGGGCUUUGUUCACGCGGGUGAGUAUCCAGCGGAAAAGGCGCUCAUAUGUUGCCUUGGCCAAAGCCUCUACAGCAAAGUCAG